rnacentral:rRNA from 1 species
UACGAAGGGGGCUAGCGUUGUUCGGAAUUACUGGGCGUAAAGCGUGCGCAGGCGGCUUCUCAAGUCAGGGGUGAAAGCCCAGAGCUCAACUCUGGAAUUGCCUUUGAGACUGAGUGGCUUGAGUACGAGAGAGGUGAGUGGAACUGCGAGUGUAGAGGUGAAAUUCGUAGAUAUUCGCAAGAACACCAGUGGCGAAGGCGGCUCACUGGCCCGAUACUGACGCUGAGGCACGAAAGCGUGGGGAGCAAACAGG